GAGUAAGAUCAUCAAAUUAGAAUGAUGGAACCUUGCAUUGAAGGUUGGCAAUAUAAAUACAGGGUGAUUCUCCGUGCCUUUCGAACUCAUGCUUGUGUCGAUUGUGGCCUCGAACAAAUUACUACAUC
rfam:Beta vulgaris subsp. vulgaris chromosome 2, whole genome shotgun sequence.